CGGGAUGAGCUCAAAUUUAAAAUCUGGCUGGUUUACUAGUCCGAAUUGUAGUUUAAAGAAGCGUUUUCGGUGGCAGCCUGGGUAUAAAUCCUUUGGAAUAGGGUAUCAUAGAGGGUGAGAAUCCCGUCUUUGACACGG
rnacentral:rRNA from 1 species